rnacentral:rRNA from 1 species
UACGUAGGGUGCAAGCGUUGUCCGGAAUUAUUGGGCGUAAAGAGCUCGUAGGCGGUCUGUCGCGUCGGCUGUGAAAUCCCGAGGCUCAACCUCGGGUCUGCAGUCGAUACGGGCAAACUGGAGUGUUGCAGGGGAGACUGGAAUUCCUGGUGUAGCGGUGAAAUGCGCAGAUAUCAGGAGGAACACCGGUGGCGAAGGCGGGUCUCUGGGCAACAACUGACGGCUGAGGCGCGAAAGCCAGGGGAGCAAACGGG